rnacentral:piRNA from 1 species
UUGACCAGAUUGUGGUCAAAGGAAGUC